rnacentral:rRNA from 1 species
UCGGGAAUAUUGCCCAAUGCGCGAAAGCGUGAGGCAGCAACGCCGCGUGCGCGAUGAAGGCCUUCGGGUCGUAAAGCGCUUUUCGGUGGGAUGAGCAAGGACAGUACCACCGGAAUAAGGGACGGCUAACUACGUGCCAGCAGCCGCGGUAAAACGUAGGUCCCGAGCGUUAUCCGGAUUUACUGGGCGUAAUGGGCGUUCAGGCGGUGGGCUAAGUCGGGCAUGAAAUCUCUCGGCUCAACCGGGAGAGGCUGUCCGAGACUGGCUCACUUGAGGGCAGUCGAGGGUGGUGGAAUUCCGGGUGUAGUGGUGAAAUGCGUAGAGAUCCGGAGGAACACCAGUGGCGAAAGCGGCCACCUGGGCUGUACCUGACGCUGACACGCGAAAGCUAGGGGAGCGAACGGGAUUAGAACCCCGGUAGUCCUAGCCGUAAACGAUGUUGACCAGGUGUCGGCGGUCUAAACCCCGUCGGUGCCGGCGCUAACGCACGAAGUCAACCGCCUGGGGACUACGGCCGC